rnacentral:rRNA from 1 species
GACGAACGCUGGCGGCGUGCCUAAUACAUGCAAGUCGAGCGAAUGGAUUAAGAGCUUGCUCUUAUGAAGUUAGCGGCGGACGGGUGAGUAACACGUGGGUAACCUGCCCAUAAGACUGGGAUAACUCCGGGAAACCGGGGCUAAUACCGGAUAACAUUUUGAACCGCAUGGUUCGAAAUUGAAAGGCGGCUUCGGCUGUCACUUAUGGAUGGACCCGCGUCGCAUUAGCUAGUUGGUGAGGUAACGGCGCACCAAGGCAACGAUGCGUAGCCGACCUGAGAGGGUGAUCGGCCACGCUGGGACUGAGACACGGCCCAGACUCCUACGGGAGGCAGCAGUAGGGAAUCUUCCGCAAUGGACGAAAGUCUGACGGAGCAACGCCGCGUGAGUGAUGAAGGCUUUCGGGUCGUAAAACUCUGUUGUUAGGGAAGAACAAGUGCUAGUUGAAUAAGCUGGCACCUUGACGGUACCUAACCAGAAAGCCACGGCUAACUACGUGCCAGCCGCCGCAGUAA